rnacentral:lncRNA from 1 species
AUCAGUGUAAGGAUGGCCUUAACCUAAGAAGGGCCUUAGCCUAAUUCUCCAUUUUAAAAUAAAACUGCAGUUCCCACCAGGCAUGCCCACGGAGCCCUCCAAUAUUGUCAUCAGGCACAGCCUGAUAAUAAAAUAAGUCACUUUCCACAACCCUGAUAAAACUCAGAGUGAAGUCACUGUCAUUCGCCCUGAUAAAGUCAGAGGCAAGAGAUCAGAGAAGG